AACGGGUGAGUAACACGUGGGCAAUCUGCCCUUCACUCUGGGCCAAGACCUGGAAUAGGGGUCUAAUACCGGAUAACACUCUGUCCCGCAUGGGACGGGGUUAAAAGCUCCGGCGGUGAAGGAUGAGCCCGCGGCCUAUCAGCUUGUUGGUGGGGUAAUGGCCUACCAAGGCGACGACGGGUAGCCGGCCUGAGAGGGCGACCGGCCACACUGGGACUGAGACACGGCCCAGACUCCUACGGGAGGCAGCAGUGGGGAAUAUUGCACAAUGGGCGAAAGCCUGAUGCAGCGACGCCGCGUGAGGGAUGACGGCCUUCGGGUUGUAAACCUCUUUCAGCAGGGAAGAAGCGAAAGUGACGGUACCUGCAGAAGAAGCGCCGGCUAACUACGUGCCAGCAGCCGCGGUAAUACGUAGGGCGCAAGCGUUGUCCGGAAUUAUUGGGCGUAAAGAGCUCGUAGGCGGCUUGUCACGUCGGAUGUGAAAGCCCGGGGCUUAACCCCGGGUCUGCAUUCGAUACGGGCUAGCUAGAGUGUGGUAGGGGAGAUCGGAAUUCCUGGUGUAGCGGUGAAAUGCGCAGAUAUCAGGAGGAACACCGGUGGCGAAGGCGGAUCUCUGGGCCAUUACUGACGC
rnacentral:rRNA from 1 species